GGGCUGGUGUACAGGUGGUGCAUGGUUGUCGUCAGCUCGUGUCGUGAGAUGUUGGGUUAAGUCCCGCAACGAGCGCAACCCUCGUUCUAUGUUGCCAGCACGUGAUGGUGGGAACUCAUAGGAGACUGCCGGGGUCAACUCGGAGGAAGGUGGGGAUGACGUCAAAUCAUCAUGCCCUUUAUGUCUUGGGCUUCACGCAUGCUACAAUGGUCGGUACAGAGGGUUGCGAAGCCGUGAGGCGGAGCGAAUCUCAGAAAGCCGGUCUCAGUUCGGAUCGUAGUCUGCAACUCGACUACGUGAAGUCGGAGUCGCUAGUAAUCGCAGAUCAGCAACGCUGCGGUGAAUACGUUCCCGGGCCUUGUACACACCGCCCGUCAAGUCACGAAAGUCGGUAACACCCGAAGCCGGUGGCCUAACCCUAGUGGGGGGAGCCGUCGAAGGUGG
rnacentral:rRNA from 1 species